AUUUGAAAUCUGGCUCUCGGCCCGAGUUGUAAUUUGUAGAGGAUGCUUUUGGUGCGAUGCCUUCUGAAUUCCCUGGAACGGGACGCCUUACAGGGUGAGAGCCCCGUAAAGUUGGACACCAAGCCUUAGUAAAGCUCCUUCGACGAGUCGAGUAGUUUGGGAAUGCUGCUCAAAAUGGGAGGUAAAUUUCUUCUAAAGCUAAAUACCGGCCAGAGACCGAUAGCGCACAAGUAGAGUGAUCGAAAGAUGAAAAGCACUUGAAAAGAGGGUUAAAUAGCACGUGAAAUUGUUGAAAGGGAAGCGCCUAUGACCAGACUUGUGCCUGGCGGAUCAUCCAGCCUUCUGGCUGGUGCACUUCGCCAGGUUCAGGCCAGCAUCGGUUUUCCGAGGGGGAUAAAAGCUUCAGGAACGUAGCUCCUCCGGGAGUGUUAUAGCCUGGUGCAUAAUAUCCCUUGAAGUGUGGAUGUAC
rnacentral:rRNA from 1 species